rnacentral:lncRNA from 1 species
AGGAUCCGACCAUUGCCUAUUUAGGCAAAUCCUAAACUUUGGACUCUCAAUUCAUGUGAUCCUAUGACCCAUAUCUGCAUCCCACUUAUUUUCUUGAUUGAUAUGAUCCUCCAAUAGGAUCCAGCUACCGCCUACAUGGGUAAGCCCUGAAUUUUGGGCCAUCAACUCAUGUGGUCAAACAGCCCAUUUAAUUCCAUACCCUAGUUCAAUCCAAACUUUCUCCCAAUCAACCCACCCGUAGGGUCCAACCAUAGCCCAUUUGGACCUGUCCUAAAUUUUUGACCAUCAUGCAAUCCAACAGCCUAAUUUUUAGCCUCACUGCUUUCCUCAAUCUAGUUAUUGGGCUUUUUGCUAAAUUUGGACCGUCAAUUCAUGUGAUCCAGCGGCCCAUUUUACACCUAUUUUAUAUAAUUUUUAUCCCCAUCGAUCCCCACCCUCCCGUUCCAGUGCGGCCACCCACAACCUAUUGACGUUCGACACCAACAAGCCACCCCAAAGCCUCUAUCCUCCAUUAGCAUUACCUGAUUC